UACGGAGGGUGCAAGCGUUGCUCGGAAUUAUUGGGCGUAAAAGGUAGGUAGGUGGUCUCAUUUGUCUGGGGUGAAAGCCUUGAGCUUAACUCAAGAAGUGCCCCAGAAACGGUGAGACUGGAGUCCUGGAGAGGGUCGUGGAAUUCCCGGUGUAGCGGUGAAAUGCGUAGAGAUCGGGAGGAACACCAGAGGCGAAAGCGGCGACCUGGACAGGUACUGACACUCAACUACGAAAGCGUGGGGAGCAAACAGG
rnacentral:rRNA from 1 species